AGUCUGGUGCCAGCAGCCGCGGUAAUUCCAGCUCCAAUAGGAUAUAUCAAAGUUGUUGCAGUUAAAAAGCUCGUAGUUGAAUUUCUGGAAGGUAGAAGUGUUUUUUUUAGAGAAGCAAUUUUUUAUUGAAAACACCGCUUUCCAUUUUGUGGAUUUCUGUUUUGUAUGAGAUAGUUUACUCUAUUUUUAUAUAAAAUACCACUCCGUCACUGAGAGCAAAUUGGAGUGCUCAAAGCAGGCUUUAUUAGCUUUGAACAUUUUAGCUUGGAAUGACAAGAUAUGACUUUUGUUUUAUUUUGUUGGUUAUGAAAUAAAAGUAAUGAUUAACAGGAACAGUUGCGGGGGUACUCGUAUUGAAAGGUCAGAGGUGAAAUUCUUGGAUUCUUUCAAGACGAACGACUGCGAAAGCAUUUACCAAGGAUGUUUUCAUUAAUCAAGAACGAAAGCUCGGGGAUCGAAGAUGAUUAGAUACCAUCGUAGUCCGACGCCAUAAACGAUGCCGACUCGGGAUUAUUUUGUUUGUUUAAAAUAAAAAAGAACACAAAGUAGCACCGUAUGAGAAAUCAAAGUCUUUGGGUUCCGGGGGGAGUAUGGUCGCAAGGCUGAAACUUAAAGGAAUUGACGGAAGGGCACACCAGAGGUGGAGCCUGCGGUUUAAUUUGACCCAACACGGGGAAACUUACCAGGUCCAGACAUGAUGAGGAUUGACAGUUUGAAAGCACUUUCUUGAUUUCAUGGGUGGUGGUGCAUGGCCGUUCUUAGUUGGUGGAGUGAUUUGUCUGGUUGAUUCCGAUAACGAACGAGACGGGGUGAAUUUACUAGUUUGUUAUAUAAUUUACGUUAUAUAAGACUUCUUUAUUCGACAACUUGGUUUUACCAAGAGGAAGCGCCCCGCAAUAACAGGUCUGUGAUGCCCUUAGAUGUUCUGGGCUACACGCGCGCUACAAUGACGAAUUCAACGAGUUUAAAAUUUAUUCCUUACCCGGAAGGAUGUGGGUAAUCUUUUCAAUAUUCGUCGUGAUGGGGCUAGAUUUUUGCAAUUAUUAAUCUUCAACGAGGAAUCUCUAGUAUGUGCAAGUCAUCAGCUUGCGCAGAAUGCGUCCCUGCCCUUUGUACACACCGCCCGUCGCACCUACCGAUUGGACGAUCCGGCAAGAUGUUUGGAGUUGUUUUGAUUGUAGAGUAAUUUAUGAUGAAAAUGACAAAGCUCUUCAAACCUUAUCGUCUAGAGGAAGGUGAAGUCUAACAAGGUCUCCGUAGGUGAACCUGCGGAGG
rnacentral:rRNA from 1 species